UCCCUCCAUCGUUCCCAGACUCUACAGGUCACUAGUUGAGGCUUCUUGGUUCCUCUGACAUCAGCCAAUCAGUCAUGUUUAGAGGGGGCAUUCCCUGGUGUAAGGCCCGCCCCCCAGUGACCAUACAAGGUAACAGUGGAAUGCAUGGCUUGGCAGUCCAUCUGCUUCAUAAGAGAGACAAACACAGAGAGCAGAGGGUGUCCCACACUGAUGAGCAAUCCUACUUUAGUCUGAUUUGAACUUCAGCUGAAGCUUUGAAAGACUGGGUUAGAGAACUUUAGAAGGAUGCCGACAGUCGCAGAGUAACCAGCCAGAGAGGACCUCAUCAGUCCAGCUGCUGCAGCUGCCAGCGAGGACUCAGUAAGGUAAGAGCACAGAGAUUACUUUUACCAGCGUUUUGCAAUGUUUUAGUGCUUCUACUACAUUACAUCACUGGCAAUCAUUUUUCAAAGCAUACCACAUUUUUAUUGUUUUUUUAAAUCAUACAGGCAGCAAGUUGAAACUUGCUGGAGUUAGGUUAUCCAUCACAAUGAACAUAAUGUCAUCAUGCUUGGAUGUUGUCAAAGUAAGGUUUUUGAACAUUCAUAAGAAAAGUCUGCACAGCAUUACAACGCCACUGAAGGCUGCGCACACUGUGUGAUUCUGGUCGGUCCUAGACUAAAGUUAACAACCCCGAGUGGAGCGGUGAAAUCUUCUGGUGUUGCUUCAGAACAGGCACGUCCACUGCCGGCGCAGUCAGAGGUUUGAACAGACAAGCUCUCACAACGGGACCUCUGCAUAAGACAGCUGACUGCUCACAGUUCAGGUUUUGUCACAGUGUGACAUGCAGUGAACCUGGAAGAUCGUUGUUGGCACACAGUGUGUAGGGGCCUUGAGAUGGAUGACCUAACUCAAGCAAGUUUUAAGAGCAAAAAUCUGAACACUGUGGUAUAUUCUGAUAAAUGCUGAGUCGUCAUGCAAAGUACAUGUGACCUGGGUAAAGUCUGGUAAGUGUGGUUCUUAAACGGCUGCUGUGUUCCUCCUGCAGUGCUUACUGAGAACGGGACUGUAACUGUACAGCACUCUGGAUCACUUCACUCCUGUUAGUUACAUCAAAAUGCCAUUUUCAUUUGUUCUUAUUGAAGAAGCCUAGAAUGCACUUAGGAUUUCUUUUUGUCUCCAUGGUAAAAACAUAAAUUCAUUGUCUUCCCCCAUCCAUUUACAGGCCUACUGAGAGGGGUCCUGAGAAGAUUAACAGGAUGGGGAAGUAGAAAAAAUCCUAUUUCUGUUACAAAAAAUGCGUUUAUUUUUUUGGAAUUUGCUCUAAGCUUAAAUGAAGCGUAGAUUGUACCCCUAAAAAACAGUUUGAGAAGGAACAAUGACUCUCUGGCUGGACUGAUCACAAACAGCAGACACAUGCAGCCUGUGCCCAGGGGUCCCAGUAGACACUGCUUUGUUUUAAGGUGUCAUAGGUCAAAGAGGUUGGCCACUGAUUUACAGUUUCCAAAUUCACCACUUAGAGGGAGGGGGAUCAUGUCAAAAAAUCCAAUCUUGCAUCGUGGGGCAGGGUGGGGUGCCGUGCUGUCGGAGCAACAACCUGAUGUGAAACCCUGGUGCAGUAUGGCUGGCAUUCAUCUCACACAGCAGGCGGCAGCAGUGACUGGGACCAAAUCUGCACGUGUACAGGGAGCAGUGGGUGUUAAAGCAAGAGGAGCAUCAGAGCAGGUAGGAGGACCACACACACACACGUCUGUCUUUCUGUGCAUGUGAGGACCCUAACCCUAGCCUCAACCAUCACAGCUAAAUGCCAAACUCCAAACCUUACCAUGAUGAAUGGAGAGGCUUGGAUCACGGCUUUAUUUCUUCCACCACUAGGCCUAACCAGCAGAUUGUGAAUGUGUUUUAUCAUUCGAGGAGUGUUUGUACUCAUUGUACUUGUGCCAGUGCACCGGGAGCUACAACUGCACGACUGUAGACCGCAUUCUUUUAAACCUAACCUAAUCAUAAUUCUAACCUGAAGCUUAAAGCCAAGUAUUAACCUUCAAACUGUCCUUUGACGUAGUGAGGGCCAGCCACUCCCCACAAUGCAGAAAUGUCCUCACUGUGAUGGUUUAAACCUGCAAUUGGCCCUAACAAAGAUAGCAAUGCAAGCCCACACACACAUGUUUAUUUGAACCGGACUCGACAGCACGGUUAGAGCAACAAUGCAUUUUUGACUUCUAGUGGAAGUGAUUGAGUGUUCUGUGACUCGAGGCUUUCACCAGCUGAGAGCCUUCCCACAGCAGUACUGAUGGUGCACAGCCACUGCCACUCUUAUGCUCCCCAAGCCUCAGUUCCUCUUAAUUAGCACUAAAGUUCAUUCUUGGCUGCUUAUACUGACAGGCUGGCUGGUUGAGGAGGUUAAUGGUAAUGUAACAUAGUGUCAUACUGAGGUCCCUGUUCCCAAAGUCCAGCUAAUCAAAUAUGCGUUAUAGUCCCCCAGCAGCCAGGAGCCGCCGUCCUGCUGAGGACUGGGACGGACAUGAGAAAGUGUGUGAGAGGAGGAAAUGCUGUAUUUAUUUACUGAGCAGUCAAAAGUCUUAAGAGCACUGGGUUAGGAGGACUUUCACAUAACCCCCUACACACACACAUCCUCACGCCAGUCCCCCUCUGGGACCAAGAGACCAUGAUUCCCAGGGUCUAUUUCACAUGGGAGAAGGGGGGUAGAAGGAGGAGGAGAGGCAUAUGGAAGGUGAGAAAGUGGGAGGAAGAGAUGGAGAGAGACGAACUCCUCUGAAGGCCAGUCCACACAGCUCGUCCCUCACCCGUCUCGCAGAGCGGAUGCUCGUCCGUCUUCCCACACGCCGAGUGUGACGUGCGUUACCACUUCGGAAGCUUUCUCCAUUCAAGUCCCACAAAUCUCACGCUGUUUGUAUGUCGAGAACUUAUCAACAGUAUCCGUAACGAUUGUCGCUAGGCUUUCUGCUUUCCCCACGGAAGUGGCCAGCUCUCACGCUUCAGCUGGCAGUGAAACUGUCCAGAACGACAGCUCAGCUGCCCACACCACUUACUUACAUUUUAAACGCUGUCAGCCAUUAGCUCCUCUCACUGCACACGCUUCCUCUGACACCGUUUCGCCUUCAGCUGCGACCCCCAUGCAAUAUUUCACAUGCAACAUUUUAAGACAUUCAAACCCGUUCAUAUUGUUUACGGUGUUUGUUUCUCUUCACUGUGGUCUUUUGUAGUUAUUUUAGUUUUAGUUAGUUCAUUGAAAACACUGCUGUGUUUUGCUGCAGUCACUUUCUGUUGUCAGCCACGCAGGACCUGGCGCUGCGAGCAGCAGUCCUUCCCGAUCCUGCUGACCUCCGGGCCUCCGACGCGGAUGAUGUCUUUGACUCCUCUGGACUGGAUUUCUACAAAAGACAAAAGUGACUCGAUGAGAUCAGUGGUGCUGUUGAGAUAAUGGAGAUCAAAGAUGGAGAUCCGACAGUCUGCACUAGCGGUAAGAUGAACGACUGCAAGACUCUAAAGCGUGUUAUCUGUUUUGCACUUUAACAACAAUAUCUGUACAUUCGAUAUGAAUCCAGAAACGUUCCCAUAGCAGCUUCUUAUCUUCCAGAACAACAUUUCAUCUACUGAGAUCACAGGCAGCUAUUUCCACCAACCGCUGCCUGCGCUCACUCUCUCAAGUCCAGAGCUGUGGCUCUUUUCCACAGUCUUACAAUAAUUCUGGGCGAUAUAGUUACAGGUUGAACAAUAAAAAAAAACAGGCGCUGCACAUGACCCGACAUACCGACAUGCAAUGUGUUAGUAAGGUGUUGCUCCACCACGAGCCUCCCGCACAGCUCCAGCGCUUCGAACGUAUUAUUUCCAUACCCGGCAAAGCGUUCAGUGAGCCCUGGUGAAACUGAAUGGAAGCACCUGGAUUCUGAUCUGCAUCGCACAAAGCCACCUGUAGUUGAGACCUGAGUGUGCAGGGACACACUGGUUAAGUCAGAUUGGACAGAUUCAUGAGUGCAGGCUCAACUCAGCGUCCUCUCACAUUCUCACGCGUUCCAAAUGUGACAUAAAGCUCGUCCUGCCCUCCCAGCUCUGUCCCUGUGCAUUCUCAGAUCUGAAUGUCUGGGUUUAGGGUAGGGAAAGCUUCGUGGUUAAAGGAAACCAACAUUCACUGGUGGGACAUCUUUACCCUUUGCCGCACUCCAACAACAUCAUGCUUCUUCUUGCUUUGGUCCUGAACAUCACAUGAACAAGCUGUGGGCCACUUCAACUGAAGGACCACAGUAGUCCUGUCACUCCUCUGGAGUUGGUGUUGAACAUAAAGUGGGACUCUGAUCAAAGGAAGCUGUCAUAGUGGAGCAAGAGGAGUCGCUUCUGAAAUAUAGUGUGUGUGUGUGUGUGUGUGUGUGUGUGUGUGUGUGUGUACGUGCAGAUGUCUGCUGCUGCAAUGUCUCUUAACAAAGUAUGUGUGUUGUGUUUCAGAUGUCAGAGAGGAGCAUGUAGUAGACAGGUGAGUAUCACACACACACAAUCAUUGUAAAAGGCUGGUUUGUGAGUGUGUGCAUGUGGAAAGUCAGCGAGCAGCAGCGGGGCAGGAAGUUGGCAUUAUGUAGGUCCACUGGGGUUUAAAGUCAUUUCCUGUUUACCCCUCCCCAACAAGAAUGUUUGUGUUGUGCUCUCCAUCGCUCUCUCACACAACACGCACUCUUUUCCACGUCCUUUUUUGUGUCCCGCUGCUUUCACUGAUAUUUCUGAUGCGUUAGUAGAAAGACUGCAGAAGCUGUUGCUGCAGAAAUCAUUCUUAUGAUGCUAAACUGUGUCUUAGGUGUAAAUGAAGACACUGUCGCAUCAUGCCAGGUCUUUCCCCCUGGGGUCCCCCCCUAGUUUUGAUUUCUCUAGAAUGUGUCGGUAGGUGUUCUUUUGAACCCCCCGGUCACAUCUUCAUCCUGCCUUGGCCUCAGCCCGCUUUUUAUUCAGUCUUGAGCGCGAUGCUGCUGGAUUCAAAUACACAACAAAGUGUAUUCGAAUCAAAGGUGGUGAUGGUGAUGACUGAGAGAAAGAGAGAGCAACUCUUUCCCAUCACAUGUGUGAGUCUGAUGUUUCCUGUCUUUAGAGGACGCUCCCGUCUCUUGCAUCACUCUGAUGCGAGCUUGAGCUUUAACUGUGAGCUCACUUCAGCUAACGAUGACUCAGCUGAGUUUCUGUUGUGUUGAACUGUAUAUUUUCAACAGAAAUCUGUGCAGCCCGUGGAAAGAACACGGCCCUGGUCCUUCCCUGCGGCCCAUGGUGCAGUGCUGCAUCUCUGGUCAGUUGGUAGUCUGAGAUGAAGCACUGUAGCUCGGGACGGAGGACAGAAAUUCCAGUCUGAGCAUACCCAGAGCCAGGUAACCGCAUCCAGCAGCAGCUCUGGUUUGCUUCAGACUGAAUGAUAUGAAACAAAGGGUCAUGGGACAGGAGACACCUUGUGGAUCACAGUCCGUCAGGAACUACAUUGGUCCAUUCACAGGAAGGGUGUUCCUGUUAACUUUAUUUUGUUCAGAGGACAUGAAAAUUGAAGUUGUAGAAUUCAUCACAAAAUGAGGAUUAGGGAAAAAAUGGAAAAAUUCACACUUUUGCUUAAAACUAUUUAAAAUAUUUUGUUGUAAUAAUUUCAAAACAAACUUUGAUUGACUUUUAAAGAAUGCUUAAUGUCUCAUUAAUUUCUAUUAAUAAAUGACUAUCAAAUUCAACAUUCAAUUUCAGAUAGAGGAAGUUACAUGUAAUCAAUCCUAUGACCGCCGUCUGCCACAUUCCAUGAUUUAAGUGUUUAGGAGCUUGGAAACUGUCCCGUCUGUGUUGAUGGUGCCAUGUCUAAUGUGCAAUCUAUAAAUGGGAAGUAUGCAAACCACAGCUGGAGGACUGGGAUCCAUUGGUGUUGAUGUGAUGAUGGGUGAUGAUGAUGGACGGAUCACAUCAGAAGAGGAAGAGCUGACUGACCUCUUGUUUUUCUUCUCCUCUCUCCUGGGGUCCAGUUUUCCCAGGAAUCCCUUGACCUAUCAGAAAGGGGGAUUCCUGGAAAUACUGUUCUUGGGGGUGGGGCUUAUCAGCAAUUCCAUGUACAGUAUUAUGCCAUAUUUAUGGAUGUGUGUAAUAAUGUUCUAGAGAAGAGAAACACAAGUGUGACUUGUUACCCAGCGGUUUGAAUCAGCCCCCCUUAUUACUGAUCAUUGUUGAAUAAACAUUCAAAACAAAGAAA